rnacentral:sRNA from 1 species
CCUCGCAGCGCUCAAUGACCACGGUUGG